CCCUGAUGUUAGCGGCGGACGGGUGAGUAACACGUGGGUAACCUGCCUGUAAGACUGGGAUAACUCCGGGAAACCGGGGCUAAUACCGGAUGGUUGUUUGAACCGCAUGGUUCAAACAUAAAAGGUGGCUUCGGCUACCACUUACAGAUGGACCCGCGGCGCAUUAGCUAGUUGGUGAGGUAAUGGCUCACCAAGGCAACGAUGCGUAGCCGACCUGAGAGGGUGAUCGGCCACACUGGGACUGAGACACGGCCCAGACUCCUACGGGAGGCAGCAGUAGGGAAUCUUCCGCAAUGGACGAAAGUCUGACGGAGCAACGCCGCGUGAGUGAUGAAGGUUUUCGGAUCGUAAAGCUCUGUUGUUAGGGAAGAACAAGUACCGUUCGAAUAGGGCGGUACCUUGACGGUACCUAACCAGAAAGCCACGGCUAACUACGUGCCAGCAGCCGCGGUAAUACGUAGGUGGCAAGCGUUGUCCGGAAUUAUUGGGCGUAAAGGGCUCGCAGGCGGUUUCUUAAGUCUGAUGUGAAAGCCCCCGGCUCAACCGGGGAGGGUCAUUGGAAACUGGGGAACUUGAGUGCAGAAGAGGAGAGUGGAAUUCCACGUGUAGCGGUGAAAUGCGUAGAGAUGUGGAGGAACACCAGUGGCGAAGGCGACUCUCUGGUCUGUAACUGACGCUGAGGAGCGAAAGCGUGGGGAGCGAACAGGAUUAGAUACCCCUGGUAGUCCACGCCGUAAACGAUGAGUGCUAAGUGUAAC
rnacentral:rRNA from 1 species